rnacentral:lncRNA from 1 species
UAUAUAGUGAACAUGAAGCUUGUGGUGGAGAAUAUCCCUUUGGGCAGUUUGGAUCAGCUGUUCCAGCUGUGCCCCUUGCUUUGUGCAGCUCCUCACUGGCAGUAUGAGCUGCUGAAGAGUCCUUGGUGUGGGGUGAGCACAACUGGGCAACAGCCAGAACAUCAGAGCAUUAUCAACAUCAUUCUCAUCCUAAAUCCAAAACACAGUGCUGUGCCAGCUUCUGAGGAGAAAAUUAUCUCUGUCCCAGCAGAAACCAGGACAAAGUUAUAGGACUGUACUUACUGAAGAGUUAGAAGAUGCAGGCACACCUGAUGAAAAAGUAAACAGUGCUGGAGAAGAGAAUUUGAACCUCAGAAUAAAAGAGCUGGAAAAGUCAGAGCAAAAACUGAAAGGUGUUCUAGAGGACUACGUGGAGUCAGAUUCCAUCCUAAGAAAUAGGAUGAAAGAGCUGGAGCUGUCAAACAAAACACUUCUUGUGAUGAUUGAUCAACUUUAUGUGAAGCUGGACCAGGUUGAAAAUGCCAAUGUGCGCAUUAAAGGGAAACUGCGAGAUAUUCAGGAGGACCUGAUCAGCUUGGUUGAAAACCAAAAGAAGUCAGAGAAGAAGCACAAGGAAAAAUUGCAUUGGCUUCAGGAGCAGCUGAAGACAAAAGAGGAUGAAAUAAAAAGCCAGUCAGAAUAUUUUGAGCACUACAAACAAAGGCAGAGACAACAGACAGCAGUACUGAGGAAAAGGGACUGUUACCUUCAGGGUGAGGUAUCUAGGCUGGAAAAGCAAGUCCUAGAUCUUAAUGCCCAUAUUGCUCUUUUGACAUCCAAGUUUGAAGAGGCAGUGGUGCAGCACCUCCAGCAGAAGCUGCAGUCAGUGUGCAGUGGGACUCAGGGCUGUAAAUAUUCUGGCAUGGAAGAAAUGGAAUGGAAGACUUGUAUUGAAAAUGUGGAACAUGAUGUGAAAAGCCACCUCAAGGCAUUUCAGCAAAACCUGAAGCUCUUGAGGGAAAAAGAAGAGGACACUAGAAGAGAACGGGCAGACCUGCUGACUGAACUGCAGUGCUCUCAGAACACUGAAGACUUUCUCAGAACAAAAGUGGAAGAAUCUCACCAUAGUGUCUAUAGUUUAAAAUUAUCUGAAAUCAAACUACAGGAAAAAGUGGAAGAGCUUUUAGAUGAAAACAGAACUUUAAAAGAUCAAGGUACUGUGAAGUUGAAAAAGAAGAAAGAAAAAGAACUUACAAGAUUGGUGGAUGGAGACAAUAGUCUUAACCUGAAUGGAGAUCCAGUUCAGGAUGAAGUUCAGAAUCUGAAAUGGAGAGCAGUCUUGGAUUCACUCAGAAGCAGAGCUACUCAAACUCCAGUUGUGCUGCUACAUGAUAAAGAGUCUGAAACACCAGCCUGUAGUUGUGAUGGACUAAAGCAUACGGAGGAGCAACCAGAAGAACUUGUGCCAGUUUUGGAAUGCAGUUCUAGUGCUGUUGCAAAAGUUGCUGGUCUAGCUGAGACUGAGCAGGUGAGAAGAAAAGUUACUGCUGUUCUUGCUAUCUUUGUGCACAGGGAGCAUGUGAAAUUGGAGAGAAAGUGAAGAGUUGGUGCAUUUUAAGGUGAAUAUAAAAGUAGCUUUAAAUCAUAGCUGUUACAGAUGCUUUACAAGGUGAG